GACGAACGCUGGCGGCGUGCCUAAUACAUUCCAGUAGAACGCAGUUGCGAACGGGUGAGUAACGCGUAGGUAACUGCCUCAUAGCGGGGGAUAACUAUUGGAAACGAUAGCUAAUACCGCAUACUGUGCGAUGGACCUUCGUUGUAUUCUCUAGUUGGUGAGGUAAAGGCUCACCAAGGCGACGCUACCUCGCCGACCGGAGAGGGGUAUCGGACAAACUGGGAAGGCGAAACGGCCAAGAAUACUACGGGAGGCAGCAGGAGGGAAACUUCGGAAAUGGACGGAAGUCUGAACGAGCAACGACGCGUGAGUGAAGAAGGUUUUAGGAUAGUAAAGCGCUGUGGUUAGAGAAGCGGUAACUAACCAGAAAGGGACGGCUAACUACGUGCCAGCAGCCGCGGUAAUAC
rnacentral:rRNA from 1 species